GGCUCAGAACGAACGCUGGCGGCGUGCCUAACACAUGCAAGUCGAACGGACUUGAGGGGCUUGCUCUUCAAGUUAGUGGCGCACGGGUGAGUAACGCGUAGAUAAUCUGCCUGAUGAUCUGGGAUAACACUUCGAAAGGGGUGCUAAUACCGGAUAAGCCCACGGUGUCUUUGGACAUUGCGGGAAAAGGGGGGGACCUUCGGGCCUUUUGUCAUCAGAUGAGUCUGCGUACCAUUAGCUAGUUGGUAGGGUAAUGGCCUACCAAGGCGACGAUGGUUAGCUGGUUUGAGAGAAUGAUCAGCCACACUGGAACUGAGACACGGUCCAGACUCCUACGGGAGGCAGCAGUGGGGAAUUUUGCGCAAUGGGCGAAAGCCUGACGCAGCAACGCCGCGUGAGUGAUGAAGGCUUUCGGGUCGUAAAGCUCUGUCAGAGGGAAAGAAGUGUAUUGUGGCUAAUAUCCACGAUACUUGACGGUACCCUCAAAGGAAGCACCGGCUAACUCCGUGCCAGCAGCCGCGGUAAUACGGGGGGUGCAAGCGUUGUUCGGAUUUAUUGGGCGUAAAGAGCGUGUAGGCGGUUUGUUAAGUCUGAUGUGAAAGCCCUGGGCUCAACCCAGGAAGUGCAUUGGAAACUGGCGGACUUGAAUACGGGAGAGGGCAGUGGAAUUCCUAGUGUGGGAGUGAAAUCCGUAGAUAUUAGGAGGAACACCGGUGGCGAAGGCGGCUGCCUGGACCGAUAUUGACGCUGAGACGCGAAAGCGUGGGUAGCAAACAGGAUUAGAUACCCUGGUAGUCCACGCCGUAAACGAUGAGAACUAGGUGUUGCGGGUAUUGACCCCUGCAGUGCCGCAGCUAACGCAUUAAGUUCUCCGCCUGGGAAGUACGGUCGCAAGACUAA
rnacentral:rRNA from 1 species